AUUGAACGCUGGCGGCAGGCCUAACACAUGCAAGUCGGACGAGUGGCGGACGGGUGAGGACUGUCUGGGAAACUGCCUGAUGGAGUGGGAUAACGACUGGAAACGGUAGCUAAUAACGCAUACCAUCAGAUGUGCCCAGAUGGGAUUAGCUAGUUGGUGGGGUAACGGCUCACCAAAGAGACGAACCCUAGCUGGUCUGAGAGGAUGACCACCCCAACUAGAACUUAGCCACGUUCCAGACUCCUACGUGAGGAAGCAGGGGGUAAUAUUGCACAAUGGGCGCAAGCCUUAUGCAGCCAUGCCGGGUGUAUGACGAAGUCCUUCGGGUUGUAAAGUACUUUCAGCGGUGAGGCGUUACCCGCAGAAGAAGCACCGGCUAACUCCGUGACAGCAGCCGCGGUAAGUC
rnacentral:rRNA from 1 species